rnacentral:rRNA from 1 species
AGUCGACGAUGAAUCUUCUAGCUUGCUAGAAGUGGAUUAGUGGCGCACGGGUGAGUAAUGCAUAGGUUAUGUGCCCUUUAGUCUGGGAUAGCCACUGGAAACGGUGAUUAAUACUGGAUACUCCCUACGGGGGAAAGUUUUUCGCUAAAGGAUCAGCCUAUGUCCUAUCAGCUUGUUGGUGAGGUAAUGGCUCACCAAGGCUAUGACGGGUAUCCGGCCUGAGAGGGUGAUCGGACACACUGGAACUGAGACACGGUCCAGACUCCUACGGGAGGCAGCAGUAGGGAAUAUUGCUCAAUGGGGGAAACCCUGAAGCAGCAACGCCGCGUGGAGGAUGAAGGUUUUAGGAUUGUAAACUCCUUUUGUUAGAGAAGAUUAUGACGGUAUCUAACGAAUAAGCACCGGCUAACUCCGUGCCAGCAGCCGCGGUAAUACGGAGGGUGCAAGCGUUACUCGGAAUCACUGGGCGUAAAGAGUGCGUAGGCGGGGUAAUAAGUCAGAUGUGAAAUCCUGUAGCUUAACUACAGAACUGCAUUUGAAACUGUUACUCUGGAGUGUGGGAGAGGUAGGUGGAAUUCUUGGUGUAGGGGUAAAAUCCGUAGAGAUCAAGAGGAAUACUCAUUGCGAAGGCGACCUGCUGGAACAUUACUGACGCUGAUGCACGAAAGCGUGGGGAGCAAACAGGAUUAGAUACCCUGGUAGUCCACGCCCUAAACGAUGGAUGCUAGUUGUUGCCUUGCUUGUCAGGGCAGUAAUGCAGCUAACGCAUUAAGCAUCCCGCCUGGGGAGUACGGUCGCAAGAUUAAAACUCAAAGGAAUAGACGGGGACCCGCACAAGCGGUGGAGCAUGUGGUUUAAUUCGAAGAUACGCGAAGAACCUUACCUAGGCUUGACAUUGAUAG